rnacentral:misc_RNA from 1 species
GUGAGUCAUCGAAUCUUUGAACGCAUAUUGCGCCCGAGGCCUCGGCCAAGGGCAUGUCUGCCUCAGCGUCGGCUCACCCCUCGCCACCCCCUUCCUGCUGUGCAAGCAGCGGCAAGGUGUGGACGGCGGAUCUGGCCGUCUCGGUCCCCUUCAAAACGGGACCGGGUCGGCUGAAGCCCAGAGGCUUUGCAGGACCCUGUCACAUGGGCACAGCUUGGUAGGUAGCUCACGCUGCAUGCCGCUGGCGCCUGGUUGGGGCCUGCGCUCACAAAGCCCGCAGGAAACACACACCCUUUGUUU